CUCUUUCAGGAAUAGGAAAACUAUAGAGCUGGUCCCUAUUCUGUCACUAACUUCUGCCUGGAAUGUUCCCUUCCCUACAUGGGCUGGAUCCUUUCAGCAUUCCAUCUCAACUGAAAUGUCACCUCCACAGAGAAGCUUUCUCUGAUCACCCAAGAUGGGGAAACUGAGAUGCAAAGAAGUUAAGUAAUUCACCUUGAGAAGUGACAGAACCAGGAUGCAAACUCAGGAAUGUAGCUAUGGGAUCUGCUUUUUUAUUAUCCAUGCUAUACCUCCUCUUAAGGGCACCAUGUUGACAAGAGGAUUUGAUCUGCAGUCGAUCCUGACUUGAGCACUCACUAGCUGUGUAUUCCAAGACCAGUCACUUAAUCUUUCUGGGCCUCAGAUUCCUCAUGUGUAAGAUGAGCGGGAUGAUGCUUACACCACAUUAGGAAAAUCAAGUGAUAAAGUCUGUUGUUGUGCUUUUUUAAAAAUUGUGGCAUCUUGUAUAAGUGGUAGUUUGUUGUUAUUGCAAUCAUUUCUUAGGCAUAUAUCUCUUCUAUC
rnacentral:lncRNA from 1 species